AUGGUGGAGGACCUGCUGGCGCUGGGCAAGCUCAACAACUGCCUCGCCGUGUGCGACGUGUCGGGCAGCAUGAACGGCCUCCCCGUGGACGUAUGCGUGGCGCUCGGCCUCCUCCUCUCCGAGCUUUGCGACGAGCCAUGGCCCCACCGCGUCAUCACCUUCAGCGAGAAGCCGCAGCUGCACCACAUCUCCGGCGACACCCUCGCGGAGAAGACACGGUUCAUACGCGAGAUGGAAUGGGACAUGAACACCGACUUCCAGGCGGUGUUCGACCAGCUCCUGCGCGUGGCCGUCGCCGGCAAGGUCCCUCCGGAGCGCAUGGUGAAGAAGGUGUUCGUGUUCAGCGACAUGGAGUUCGACCAGGCAUCGUCGAGGCCGUGGGAGACCGACUACGAGGCGAUCACGAGGAAGUAUUCCGAGGCCGGGUACGGCGACGCCAUGCCGCAGAUUAUCUUCUGGAACCUGCGGGACUCAGACUCGGUGCCGGUGACGGCGCAUCAGAAGGGGGUGGCGCUGGUGAGCGGCUUCUCCAAGAACAUGGUGAAGCUGUUCCUCCAGGGCGAAUACAUCCUGUCGCCGAGGGCAGUCAUGGAGAAGGCCAUCGCCGGGCCGGAGUACCAAAAGCUCGUUGUGUUCGACUGA
rnacentral:rRNA from 1 species